AACAGGCAAAACUAGUCCUGGUGUUGGAAGGCAGGGUAGGGAUUGCCCCGAUUGGUGGAAAGAGCUGAGGGGGCAUUGAGAGUGCAGGUCAUGUUCUGUUGCUUGGUGUGACUGCUAGUUAAACAGGUGUGUGAAGUUCGUGAACAAGCAUCUAGCUGUGCACCAGGCACCUUUGAUACUGCAAUGAAAUAUACAUUACAACAAUUGCAUGGGGUUUUCCCCAGGACAGUGUAGCCAGUCUCAGUAACAUUUCCAUUAAAUAAGACUUGCUGGGAGCUUGGAGCCCCAGAGUUAGGAGCUCACUCUUGCAGAGAUGUGCGCGGCCCCACCCGCCCUGUUCUUCCGACGCACUGCCAGGCCAGCGAGCGCUCACCGGGCUGCCUAACGCGCAGCGGAGGGGACUCGAGUCCCGAGACCCGGAAGGGGCCGCCCAGCGCUCUCAGCCGGCUCGUAGAGCCAGGGCCGGGCUCAGGGAGCUUCAGAGCAAGAAACACCGAAGGUGUAAAGCCCGAGCGAGCAGCUCGAGUCUCAGUCCUGCAGCCUAAGGCAGCCCCUCCAAGCCGUGGGCGCCGGCCGUCCGUCUCCUCACCGUGGCGCCCUUUACUCGGCCACCCGGGGCACAGCCAGGGGCUUCACCGAGCCCCGGGUCCACCGUGGUCGCGGCCGCCGGUCGCCGGGAGCCCGGAGCCGGGACGCGAGGGUUGGGGGUUGGGGAUGGGUCCCAGUGUCGCGCGGGAGUUCAAAGCCCGGCACUGGCACGGGGCUCCGCCGCCGCAGCCGCUGGAGCCUUGGGCUCCCGCCGCGGGGAGAGCGGGGGUAGGGCGCCUGUCCCGGAGUGACCCGGCGGCGGAGGAAGGGCGGGCCGCAGGCGGCGGGCCCGGGGGACCUUGAGCGGGCGGGCGAGGAGCGGGUGAGACCGAGGUCGACAGAGUGGGGGCCCCACGAGGCCCGCGCCUGGUCGGGAAGAGAGUAGGAGAUUCCCCCGCGAGCUCAGACCCGGCACUGAGGGAAGAGACACUCCGAGUCCUGCGUCUCCAAGUUUUGCUCCAAUGCCCUUGACAUUGAAUGCAUGUGUGGCGUCUAUCCUGGCGCAGGCGAUUUGAUAUUUUCAAUAGGCCUAACCUCACCAGUGGCGUGCCCGGCCCGGCUGGCUAGCGGCUCCUGUCCCCAAGACCCCCGCAGUCACCAGACCUUUGCACUGCCCAGCGCUGGAGGGGGCGACCAGAGCCUUACAGGCUCCACGGUGGGCGGGCUCUUACCUCCUGACUUAUUCCUCCUGGCGCUGCAGGGGGGACUGAGGUGGUGAUAACUUCUGGAAACACCAAGGACUAAAAAGGAAGGAAACUGCAGAAAGUGGGGGGCCACAGAAGCAGCAGCUCGCAGUCAUGUUCCAAGACUAGCAAUCCAUAAACAUUGCUUGCCCUGGGGGGGGGAAAAUAAAGAUUUCGCCAAUACUGCAUCUCUUCGAUUUUUACCCAUUUCCUUUACUUGGUCCUAUUUUUACUUGGUCAAAGAAACACGUGUAUCAUAUACUCAGAAUUUCCCCUUAAUUAUAAGUUUUUUACAAAAAGUCAAUAAAAG
rnacentral:lncRNA from 10 species